rnacentral:rRNA from 1 species
GACGAACGCUGGCGGCGUGCCUAAUACAUGCAAGUAGAACGCUGAAGAGAGGAGCUUGCUCUUCUUGGAUGAGUUGCGAACGGGUGAGUAACGCGUAGGUAACCUGCCUUGUAGCGGGGGAUAACUAUUGGAAACGAUAGCUAAUACCGCAUAACAAUGGAUGACACAUGUCAUUUAUUUGAAAGGGGCAAUUGCUCCACUACAAGAUGGACCUGCGUUGUAUUAGCUAGUAGGUGGUAAUGGCUCACCUAGGCGACGAUACAUAGCCGACCUGAGAGGGUGAUCGGCCACACUGGGACUGAGACACGGCCCAGACUCCUACGGGAGGCAGCAGUAGGGAAUCUUCGGCAAUGGGGGCAACCCUGACCGAGCAACGCCGCGUGAGCGAAGAAGGUUUUCGGAUCGUAAAGCUCUGUUGUAAGUCAAGAACGGGUGUGAGAGUGGAAAGUUCACACUGUGACGGUAGCUUACCAGAAAGGGACGGCUAACUACGUG